rnacentral:rRNA from 1 species
UCUUAAUUGACUUGGUAACGCAGCUAACGCGUGAAGUAGACCGCCUGGGGAGUACGGUCGCAAGAUUAAAACUCAAAGGAAUUGACGGGGACCCGCACAAGCGGUGGAUGAUGUGGAUUAAUUCGAUGCAACGCGAAAAACCUUACCUACCCUUGACAUGUACAGAACGCCGAAGAGAUUUGGUGGUGCUCGCAAGAGAACUGUAACACAGGUGCUGCAUGGCUGUCGUCAGCUCGUGUCGUGAGAUGUUGGGUUAAGUCCCGCAACGAGCGCAACCCUUGUCAUUAGUUGCUACGAAAGGGCACUCUAAUGAGACUGCCGGUGACAAACCGGAGGAAGGUGGGGAUGACGUCAAGUCCUCAUGGCCCUUAUGGGUAGGGCUUCACACGUCAUACAAUGGUACAUACAGAGGGCCGCCAACCCGCGAGGGGGAGCUAAUCCCAGAAAGUGUAUCGUAGUCCGGAUUGUAGUCUGCAACUCGACUACAUGAAGUUGGAAUCGCUAGUAAUCGCGGAUCAGCAUGUCGCGGUGAAUACGUUCCCGGGUCUUGUACACACCGCCCGUCACACCAUGGGAGCGGGUUCUGCCAGAAGUAGGUAGCUUAACCGUAAGGAGGGCGCUUACCACGGCAGGGUUCGUGACUGGGGUGAAGUCGUAACAAGGUAGCCGUAUCGGAAGGUGCGGCUGGAUCACCUCCUUUCUG